UAAUUCUCAUGCUUCAUGGCAGAUUUUUAGUUGGUUUUUUCAAAAAAAAAGGAAACCCAUUCAGCUGGAGACAUUCACAACCCUGACCAGCGGCGUAGGGAUGGGCGCUCAGAGGCCCCAGCUUUUACACUCAGGGAGUCCACUGCCCCAUAGCCACGCUGGCUGGAGCAGAGGGUCAGGUCUGAAGAGAAAACGUGGUCUUGACUGAAAUUCUGAAGCUGCAAAGUGCUCUUGACUGUCUGAAAAACCUGAAGGUGCAAGGGGGUCUUGAUUGUCUGAAAAAUUUGCCCUCAGCUAGUCCACAUCAUCUACCACUUGUCUGCAUUGAAUAACACUUGACCUAGGCCUGGCCUGAUGCAAAGAGCCUGACAGAAUUAAUUCUGUGUUGUGAGUGAUUUACAAUACAAUGCUGACAGUAUUUGCUGCAUGCCUUGAGAGCAUCCUCACCAGGACUGUGGCUUUGCUUGCCUUUCACAUCUGUUACCUCCUGAAGCUGUGGAACAGAGCAUAUGCAGGUCUUGACCUACACAAGUUUAAAGAGCUGCAGUCUUCAGGCAAAGUCCUCUACACUCCUGGAAUGAGAAACAAGAGAGGUCCUACUACAAAGAUCCCAGCUGAUACAAAAAGAACAAAAAAAAAAAAAGAAAGGCAGAAAGAAUAGCAUAUAUUAAAUUCUGAAAGAGGACAACACACUUGAGCAAAGAGUAAGCCUUGUCUGAAGCUGUUGGUGUGAAAGUAUCGAAGUGGAGAUUAGAAAAAGAUCUGUCUUGUAUUCCAAAUGCACUUUGCACUGUGAUGAACCCAACCUGCCAUGCCAGAAAUAUUCAAGACUCUAUUACUGCUGACUUUAGGAUCUUAAACUGAGAUUGGAGAAAUAGGAAGGAGAUGAGAGGAGAUGGGCUGCAAAUACCUUGGACAUGAAGAAAGCUGAGCUCAUGCAAUGCUGGAAAUGAGAGAAAAGGAGAAUUUAUAAUUGCACAGCCCAAGAGUUAAACUUCAACAGCUCUUAGCAACUGUGUAGACAUGAAAAUCAAUCACCAACAGUAGCUCUGUCCUUAGGAAAGCUGGGUUCAUUAUACCCAGCUCUUACAGAACAUUAAUUCUGUCUUA